CGCGAAGAGCCUGGAACUGGUGAAAAAAAUUUUAAAAAUGUAAAUGGAACAACAUUUACCGCUUGAAACUUUCCAAUCGCUAAGAGAGGACAACCUUUUCAAACAAACCGUUUAUUCCGGAAAAGUUCCGGUUGGGCCGUCGAAAUAUGCUUGUUCCAUUUACUUUCCGCAUGGAAUCACCGGAAUUUCCAUGUAAAUGGUAAACAACCAUGAU